rnacentral:rRNA from 1 species
UACGGAGGGUGCGAGCGUUGUCCGGAUUUAUUGGGCGUAAAGAGCGUGUAGGCGGCCAGACAGGUCCGUUGUGAAAACUAGAGGCUUAACCUCUAGACGUCGAUGGAAACCGUCUGGCUAGAGUCCGGAAGAGGAGAAUGGAAUUCCUGGGUGUAGCGGUGAAAUGCGCAGAUAUCAGGAAGAACACCCGUGGCUAAGGCGGUUCUCUAGUACGGUACUGACGCUGAGACGCGAAAGCGUGGGGAGCGAACAGG